rnacentral:lncRNA from 1 species
AGCAAGAGUAACUCAUAUCAUCAGGGUAAAAAAUAAGAGUAUCCCAUAUCAUGCUUUUUCCCUGUCUUUUUCUUUGCCCUUGUUCUUACCUGCAAGACAAAGAGAAAAAGAGCAAUGAGUCAGCACUUGGAAUCAAGCUUCCAGUCAGGAACUGACUGCCUGGAACCCCUUGCCUGAUUACUUACCUGACAUUGCUCUCGAGUACUCAUCUUUAACAUCUUAUGCUUCCAAAAAAGAUAUCACAUCUGCCUGAGGAACAAAUAAGGCAAGUGAGAAGGAUACAAGGAAGCAUGUGAAGACAAGCGCAAUAGAACACGUGCCGAUUCAUCUAUUACUUCGUCAACAACAAAAGUAUCCCAUAUCAUUAAGGUCAAACACACUCCUGAUUUGAUGGACUUGUUUUGACCCUCAAAUUCUUGAGU